CCCAUGGCUCAGAUUGAACGCUGGCGGCAGGCCUAACACAUGCAAGUCGAGCGGUAGAGAGAAGCUUGCUUCUCUUGAGAGCGGCGGACGGGUGAGUAAUGCCUAGGAAUCUGCCUGGUAGUGGGGGAUAACGCUCGGAAACGGACGCUAAUACCGCAUACGUCCUACGGGAGAAAGCAGGGGACCUUCGGGCCUUGCGCUAUCAGAUGAGCCUAGGUCGGAUUAGCUAGUUGGUGAGGUAAUGGCUCACCAAGGCGACGAUCCGUAACUGGUCUGAGAGGAUGAUCAGUCACACUGGAACUGAGACACGGUCCAGACUCCUACGGGAGGCAGCAGUGGGGAAUAUUGGACAAUGGGCGAAAGCCUGAUCCAGCCAUGCCGCGUGUGUGAAGAAGGUCUUCGGAUUGUAAAGCACUUUAAGUUGGGAGGAAGGGCAUUAACCUAAUACGUUGGUGUCUUGACGUUACCGACAGAAUAAGC
rnacentral:rRNA from 1 species